rnacentral:rRNA from 1 species
UGGGGAAUCUUGCACAAUGGGGGCAACCCUGAUGCAGCGACGCCGCGUGAGCGAUGAAGCCCUUCGGGGCGUAAAGCUCCUUCGACCGGAACGAUAAUGACGGUACCGGGAGAAGAAGCUGCGGCUAACUACGUGCCAGCAGCCGCGGUAAUACGUAGGCAGCAAGCGUUGUUCGGAGUUACUGGGCGUAAAGAGUGCGUAGGCGGUUUUCUAAGUUCGGUGUGAAAUCUCCCGGCUUAACUGGGAGGGUGCGCCGAAGACUGGGAAGCUGGAGUGUGGGAAAGGCAGGCGGAAUUCCUGGUGUAGCGGUGAAAUGCGUAGAUAUCCGGAGGAACACCGGCGGUGUAGACGGCUUGCUAGACCAUAACUGACGCUGAGGCACGAAAGCGUGGGUAGCAAACA